CUCCGCUGCCUGAGGCUCUGCUGCAUGGACCUCACCGUGUUUCAUCAACAUGUCCUCUGAUUGGUUCUUCACUUCAGUCUGAAGAUCUGUCAGCCAGUUAGUUUCUGUCUGGGUGAGCGCCACUUCCUCUCCCCACCAGCUGCUGCAGUCACUCAGCUUACUCAGCAGCACGAGUGUGUGUAUGUUUUCAUGUGUGAUGCCCUUCCACCGUCCCAUCCCCCUUCCUCAUACACGCCUGCCAGUGUGUGUGAGUCAGUGGAGAAAGUUAAACUCUGUGUGUGUGUAGUGUGUGUGUGUUGUCCUUGCAGCAGACUUUGAUUCAGUGCGGCGGGGAGAGGAGCGAGUGAGAGUGCAAUGGGCGAGGAUCUGAGCUGAGGGGAUUGCACCGUUUUGGGGUUAAAGCCGUCUCCGUCAUGGAGGAGCCCAGGAGCUGCAGGUCAGGCAGCUGGAAGCAGCAAAGAUCAAACUGGAGGGAAAAAGUUCAGCUCAGAGGAGGAGAUGCCUGAGUCAGGGGUGAUUGUAGUGGGGGAGGCACCGCCUGAAGAUAGAAAAACUGCUUGGAGACACUGGUCUCAGGACAGUUUCCCAGAGGAGAGCUCGUUAUCAGCUGGCCAUCCAGAAACUCGUGGAGUCUGAGAGGAGCUACCUGCGCCUGCUGCAGCUCAACACAGUGACCAUCAGAGGAACCUGCAGCAGCUACAGGUCAUCCAACUGGGAAGGAAGUAGAGAAGGAAAAACUCCCUUUUAUCAGGAAGAAGGGCUGAGGAAGGGGCGGGGCAGGGACAGAGACCCAGACAUUAAUAAUAAGUUGUGAAUAAAUGCAGAGAAGUGUAUAGAGUCACAGUGACAAGCUUUGAUUUAAAGUGACAACACAAAGAAGCAAAAAGAAAAAGGGUGAACGUAAAGCUGCUGCUCACCUGUGCAGCAGGUACUGUAAGUGUUUUAGCAUCCUGCACCCUCUCAGUGGCUUCUUAUCACUUGCUUUUCAUUAUGCCUGUUCUGUUGCUUAGUACUGCUAAAUAAUGGCUCAUUGACCUAAUGAAAUGAGGCCUCAUAAAACAUAAUGAAAUCAGGCUUUAUGGGUGAGCAGAGCUGAGCUGUGGAAACACACCGAGGGAGCAGGAGAGAUAUGAACUGUGUUCCAUAAGAGAUGAAUGUAGAGCAUGCAAAAGUGGAGGUGAAACACGACACGGGGAGGAGGAGGGGCAGGGUGAAGGCCAGGGUGAAUGACGGCUCUGUGAGGCCGAUGAGCUGCUGGAUUGUGCAUUGUUCAGCCUCCCAGCGGCGAGCGCAACCACUGCUCAGUCAUUCCAGCAUGAGCACAGACCCACCUUUAUUAUCAGAGGUCAGAAGUCAGCCAUGCUCUGAUGCUGCUGCAGCACGUCCCCAUCGCUUUUUCAGCGUUCCUCCCACUCUGAUGUUUUUAUAUACUCAAAAUAAAUGAACACAAUGUGUUAUAAUGGGGAGAUCAGCAAGAGACUGAGCCAGGCUACACUAACACUAGCGAGGGACACCACUCCAACCGGGCCUUAAGUAUAGUCCGUGUUAUUAAGUCGUGAAGAGCCACAGGUGCGUGUGCAUGGGUGUGAAGAUCAGGUGACCACUGGAAGGCAGGCACUGCACCCCAGGACAGCCACUGGUGGAUCAUGACAGUUACACCUCGACCAGAUGCUGUUGGAUGGAAGCACAGCAGUGGAGUGGGGAGAGUGGGAAGUCUAAUCAGGCACAAUGAUACUUCCACAGUUCACAAUAAUCCUUCUGUACGUCAUCCUGGUGCUCCUCCUAUUAGACAAAUGUCUUCUGAUUGGCUGCACCUCACAAACAGCAGCUGGUGGACGAGGAAUUUGAUGCCCUGGAAGGAUUCUUCUAUGUUUUGGAAAACGGCAUCCUGGAGCUGCUGGAGAACGUGGAGACAUACCUGCAGCACAUGCAGGGCUUCCUGUCCUGCCGCACAGAGGACUUUGACUUGGACAUGGACGGAGAAAAGGCACCGAUCUGGUAUAAGGAGAUCACGACGGCACUCCAACAGUGGAUCCUCCCAACAUUUCCUCUCAGCGCCGUCUGAAGCAGCUAACGGAUAAGCACGGCUCUGGAAAGAUCAUCCAGGUGAUGGUCUUCCAGGCAACAGCCAUGGAGACAGAAGGAGGUGGCUGGUCAAUGCAGGAGGGAAGGGAGGCUAUGAUGCUGCCUCGAAACUCAUUUGCUAUCACGAGCCAACAGAAGACCCGCCCACUUCACCACACCCGAACCUGACAGAAGAUGUGACCGCAGGCAAAAGACACUCCUACAGCCCAGCAAGCCACGCCCCACUGCCCAUGAGCUGCUUCCAGGUUGUGGGCGACUACGACUUCACGGCCAGAUCCAAACACAAAGUUUCCUUCCAGGCUGGAGAACCCGUUCAUGUCCUGGAGCCUCACAACACACGAGGGAGCCCCGAGUGGAGCCUGGUGGAUGUCAGAGGAGGUCAGAGAGGCUACAUGCCCUCCAACAAAUUGGCAAUCAUGCCCGUGGGAGCGGGGCUGCCCCCGGGCCUUGGCUUCUUCCUUUAGGGGGUGGAAACUGCAGCUGGUGCAGAUGAGAGGAUGGAUGGAAGAGCCUCCCGGGGUCGAACACUUUUCAAAGAUGGCAGCUGUAACGUCAUGAAGCUCUGACUGCGUGUCACCUCAAAAAACGUGUAGAUGAUGUUUGGUCUGCGGUUUUAAGAUGAAGGACAAUUUUCAUGGCUGCUGUACAGUGAAGCGCUCAUUUCCCAUGAUCCUCAGAGCCAUGCUGCAUGUUCUCAUUACAGUGUCUGAGUGCUAUCAAGCUAACUGUAACAUGUGUGUGUGUGUGUCCUCACCUGGAGCAGAGCUGACAGGUACAUGGCGCUCUCAUCAUCUCAGACUGUGUAAUGUGAUGUAAAUGUGAAAUGUCUCUGGGGCUGAGGAAGAACAAGACUCAGCAGGAGAGGGAGGAGGAACUGGGAGAGGGGCGAAGGAGAACGGCAGUUUCCUGCUCUGCCUAUGAGCUGAUUUAAAUUUCGUUGCACUUUGAUUCCAGAAUUUUACGUAGGAAGAGUGAAAUGGGUCAGUCAGGACAGAAUAAUGUCCUCCUGCAUUCACAUUCACCUGACGAUGCUUGUUGCUAUGGAUACGGUUCAGGCAGUGCAGGUCACGUCUAUGGAGUUUGCUUGACUGCAGCAGCGUUUCUUGAUUCCCGCACUUUAAACAUUUUUGGGUCAGAAUCAUUUGAAAGCAUCUCUGAGUGUGUGCUGAUUGGCUCUCAGGACAUAACCAUGAACCUGAGCUCCAGUAGUUUUGCAGAUAACAGCAGCUUUAACCUUUGAGCACCACAGACUCUGUCCUGGCCUCCUUCUGUGGGGUUGAGCAGCCUCAGCUGCUGUGAGCAUGGAGCAGAGGGAGGGAGGCUGGGAGUCUGAGCUGCUCAGCUGUUCCCAUCAGGCUGAAUGUCAGGAGGAGGAGGAGGGGGAUGCUUCUCUCCUAAAAUACCAUAUGUCCUCAGGGUUAGUCAGAUGGACUCAGAAACCUCAGCCUGAGAACAUUUACCUGGUUUAGGAUGAGGGGAGCGGUUCAUUCAGUAAAUGCAGCCUCAGUUAUUUUGGGAAGUUUUAAUCCAAACUGACAUGCAGAUGAAGCUGCAGCGUUUCUUCUUGUGGAGGAAGUAGUUAUUUUAACCCAUACACACACGGAAACCACAGAGUGAACAUUUCUGGCUUUUUCUGUCUGAUCAGAAACCAAGUCAACGUCUUCCUGUUCGCAUUUUCACCACCAGAGGGAGGCAGAGACUCGGAGCAUGUGUGCAUGAUCAGAUUAACUGUGUGUGUGUGUGUUUGGUAAUCGCGGCCACAGUUUGUGUGGCCGCUACUUCCUGUUUUGUUUCUGUGUGGUUUCAUGAACCUGCUGCUCAGCCGGUCCUGCUGAGUCAUUCUGAUGUUUUCCUCGAUGCUGCAGGGCUGCGUGACCUCAGCUGAGCAUGAAGCGCUGCCAGAGUUGUGAUGUUGAACUCAGUCAUGUCUUCACACAGCAGGUGGGAGGCUGAGCAGCAGCAGCAGCAGCAGCAGAGAACUGAGAGUGGCUUCAAUAAAACUAAAC